rnacentral:rRNA from 1 species
UACGAAGGGGGCGAGCGUUGUUCGGAAUUACUGGGCGUAAAGGGCGCGUAGGCGGCGCGGUAAGUCACUUGUGAAAUCUCUGAGCUUAACUCAGAACGGCCAAGUGAUACUGCAGUGCUAGAGUGCAGAAAGGGCAAUCGGAAUUCUUGGUGUAGCGGUGAAAUGCGUAGAUAUCAAGAGGAACACCUGAGGCGAAGGCGGGUUGCUAGGCUGACACUGACGCUGAGUGCGCGAAAGCCAGGGGAGCAAACGGG